rnacentral:rRNA from 1 species
UACGUAGGGUGCGAGCGUUGUCCGGAAUUAUUGGGCGUAAAGAGCUCGUAGGCGGUGUGUCGCGUCGGCCGUGAAAACCUGCAGCUUAACUGUGGGCUUGCGGUCGAUACGGGCAUCACUGGAGUUCGGCAGGGGAGACUGGAAUUCCUGGUGUAGCGGUGAAAUGCGCAGAUAUCAGGAGGAACACCGGUGGCGAAGGCGGGUCUCUGGGCCGAUACUGACGCUGAGGCGCGAAAGCGUGGGGAGCAAACAGG